UAGGGACUUUACUGACGGGACUCUGGGCUGGCUGCUCUGUUCACUCGUCAGCGCAAGUGGCGUGACCAUGUAAUUGGGGCACGGGGCCGGCGCGGCGCGCUGCGGGCUUGCAGAAUUUUGUUUGUUUGUUUGGCCGCGCGCUGGCGCAGCCACGGGCCGCAGUUACUGGGGCGCGCUGUCGUAACAAGCCGCGCGGUGUGGCCUGCACAUUGGGGUAGAGGGGGGGUAGUCUUCCCAGAUGUUCUAGUUAGUUGUUUAGUAAAUUUGACUUCAAUAACGAGCUUUUGUUAUGCUAGGCGCGGCAGGGCGCGCGAAUUUAAGCGCAAGUGAUUGGUGACUCGGGGCUCACUCAGGCGGAGGCUAUGCGUCUCACCUGUGGUCACGAGUUGUUAGUUCGUUCGUGAUGUAGGAAUUCAGGCUCACUCAGGCGGAGGCUAUGCGUCUCACCUGUGGUCACGAGUUGUUAGUUCGUUCGUGAUGUAGGAAUUCAAGCUUUCGGGCAGAAGCUAUGGCCGACGCCAGAGGCCACGAGUCGUUUAAUUUAAGUUAGGUCAUAAUGUAGUCAUCUUCAAGCUUUCGGGCGGAGGCAAUGGCCUUCGUCACUAGUCGUUUAGUUAUAAUUUUUAAAAUGUAAUGUUCGUUCGGAUUUUAAGGGCAGGAGAGGCCCCUACGUUAGUUUUAAGUAAUCGAUCAAGAAAGGCUUUUCGGAAAAUGUGAGUAUGGACUUAUCUUUGUUUUAAUUUUAAGUAUUAAUUAUGAUUUGAGGUAUUCGGAAGGACUAGGGAAGUGUUUAGUGAAGUUCUCUCAUUCUCUCUCUUGUAAGGUCGUUCAAUCGUUAAGGAAGUAAAGAGAUUAUUGUUUUAAAUUGUAAUCCCGCUAUUUAAAUGUUCUUUAAAAUGAUGUUGAGUAUUUGACUUUAAGAAUAAAAUAAUUUUAAUUAAGUAUUAUGUUAUUUUGCAAAAUCUCCUUAGUUCAGCUCUCACCAGACAUCCUGUACGGGAUGACGAACCUAUGAUCCUAGGUACAGUAAAGUAUUUUAUGAAGUUAAGACUAGUUGAUGCCAAGCGAGUUGUUUCUAUGUAAAGAGCUACGAUUCUCGCCCCCCCCCUCUGAAGGUGGAUCGUGACAGAAAUGGUAGAGUUCGCCGGAUAGGUUCUAUUUCUGGAGAGAGAGAGAGGUAGAUUUUUAUGUUUAUUAUUAAGUUAGUUUCAGCUUCUGAUAGCAGGUUAUUAAGAGUUUACUUGAGGAGAGGAUUACGGAAUUUUAGUCUAUAGUGGAGGAAGUCUUUGAGAUUUUUUUUUUGACGUAACAGAUGAUUAUUUGAGUAUACUUGUAAGGAUAAAGUUUAUAGUGAUAAGUUGUUUUAAGUCGUUGAGUUUAUCGGGGAUUUUUACGUGAGGAGAAUACGUUAUAAUUUAAAUACUUAAUAAAGAUAAUGCAAGUGGUUUAGUUUUAUUAAAGUUAAUUUAAGAUUGUAGGUUAAGAGAAUUAUAAUUUAAAAUAAAAAAUUUUUGUCGUAAAUAGGAAUUAUUUUCAAGUGAAGUUUGUUUUGUUGUCGUGCGCGUAGGAGACGAGACGUACGAAUUAAAUCAGUCGAGGGAAGGAUAAACGUUAGAAAGGAAUUAAAGAGAAAACGAGAGUUUAUGUAAAAGAGAGUUAUAGAAUUUAUAGUGAUGUUUUGUUUUAAUUAGAAAAAUGUUGAGAGUUGUUUCAGAACGACACGUCAGUGGACGUGGCAGAGUGAACACGUGACGGGGAGGUGCUGAGACCUAGCGGAGAACGGAGGAACCGCAAGCGAGGGUUGGCGCACCUGAUGGAAUUCGGUGACGUCACGGGCUCAUACGGAGACGUGGACAGGCCGUGACCUUGUUUUGAUCAGCUGUACGGUAACUUAGCGAUAAGAAAAUAGACUAUUGGUUAAAUAAAUUUAAAUUUAAGUGUGUUUUAGAAGAAGAGGAACUUUCAGUAUAUUCCUUAAGAUGAGCUGAGCAGCAGUCCAGUUUACAAGAUGACAAGAGUUCGAGAGACAAGAUACAAGAUCACUGAAACAAGAGCCAAGACUGAAGAUUCAAGAGAAGAGAAAGCUGGCAGCCAUGGACUUACAAGUGGAGAUUAAUAAGGUCAUGUAAAGUUUUAUUUUUUUUUAUGGAAGACAGUAACUGGAGUUUUUUUUUGUUAUAAACAUUAUUUACAGAACUUUUUAGGUUAUAGUAAUGUGAUGGAACUAGUGAGUUGUGGUAGCUGUCAAAAAGAACUAAUACCUUAAGUUUAAUUUUUAAAGUUAAUUUUCUUAAUUUACAGAGGGAUUAGUAGUUUUUUUUAAACCUUAUUUAGGUUGGAAUUUCAAUACAAUAGCUUAUUAUAAAUGUGUACGAACAGUUCAAGUUCACCGUACUGAUAGGUAGGUCAGAUGAUCUUAUUGAUUUUGAUGAUUUGUUGUUUUGAGUUGAUUUUUAGGUGUUGUGAAUUAGACAAUGAAAUAGUUUUGAAAACUUAAAUUAUUUCAAGCUAAGAAAUAGUAAAUUUAAUUGUAACUCAAAGGACACCAGAAUUUAAUUUUUUUUUUGAAUUAGUAAUGUUUGAAAAUUUUAUACUUUACCAGAAAGGUUAUAAACAAACAGAUCGGAUGGAACAAGGAUGCAGUAAAUCACAAUUUCAUUUAGAAUUAUUGAUUAGCUUUUGAGGUUAUGAAGUAAAAGUAAUUAUAGUUUAAAAGUUUGAAUAAAAAAAAAUGUUUUUUUUUAUUUGUUUGAAAUAGAAAGUUUAAAAGUUAAUUAGUCAUGAUCUAGGUGGGUGAUGGGGUGGGAAUUGGCCACUCUUUUUCCCUAUAACCUCCCUAACAUGGCCUUCUAUUACAACUAACAGAAAUAAAGAAGAAGAAAAAUGAAGAAUUAUUAGUUAGAAUGUUUCUUUCAUGAAGAUACCUGAUGAACUUUUACUGUUUGGAAGAAUAGAAGCAAGGUUAGUCAGAUAUUUUUACUCAGAAGAAGAAGAAGAUAAAGCAGUUUUAUGACUCGACAAGCCAGAGAUUGGUGUUUCCCCUCUGCGCUUCUAUUGACUACGUUGUUUACUCUCAUGGGAUAGCUGGUUCGGCACCAUGGAGAGAGAUUGGUGGGCAUUGUGGUUGCCCCCAGAAGAAAAGAAGAGUAGAAGAGGUUAUGGGUGGGUCAUGUGAACUGACCUUCAACCCAGUUACUUCGUGGGGACUAUUUGCUGUAUAGAGAAGAUCAAGACUCAAGAGUUAGGGAAAAUCAUUGGAGGUCAUGUUUCCCUUCCCUAAGUUUUUCCUAUCAAAUUAUUUGCCUGAUUAGAUUAUGCUAAGGGUGGGAUACUUUAUGUUAGCAGUUGAAUUAAUUAAUUUUAUUUUUUUGUGUGUUUGCAUCCUUGCCCAUCGAUUGCAGUUUAGUAGUUAGUUUUGUAUUUGUCAGGCGUGAUGGUAAUGCCUGUUGAUGAUGUUUCAGAAUUGUAAUCUGUUCGUGAUGAGGAUGGCACAACUCCGAAGCAGAUGUGGGGAGAAGUUGUGAGCUGCCCUGGAAGCCAGUCCAGUAGCUGUUGGAGUUGAGUGGUGUUUGCUGAUGGCCAGCCCAGGGAGCUACUCUUCUCGACAACACUGACUUCGAGGAGUUGCACCAACCUUCACGAGAUAAGAGUUUAAUUAAUUGAAACACUGUAAGGACACUUAAUUUUUUUUGAAGAACGAAAGAAGUAUGGUAAUAAACGGAAACCGAAAAAAAAAAAAUAAUAAUAAUUAUCAAGAAUUUGCACAUUGUUUAACGAAUACUGAGAAACUAAGAACAGUAAUUUAAUUUGUAAAGAGAGCUUCACUAACAGAACAAUUUUUUUAGAAUUGAGAACUCGAGCCUCUGAAGGUUCCUGUGAGAACAAACCAGAUAAAAGUUUUACAUUUAAUUUUAUGAAUACUUGUUGUUUUAAAAUAAAUCUUAUGCAGAAUCUAGAUGUAUGUUCAGACAGCAAGGAACUAAGAAAAUUAUUAUUUUUGUGAAAUGAGGAAUUUAUAGUUAUGGUUUAAUGGAAAAAGACAAUUUGUAAUUUUGAGGUAGCUCGAUGGGGCUCGAGCUCUGUGAGGGGUGGGUUAUGUCGCGGGUUGAAAUUUUGCAGGGUUGUUGAAAUCAAAUUUAGGGACUUUACUGACGGGACUCUGGGCUGGCUGCUCUGUUCACUCGUCAGCGCAAGUGGCGUGACCAUGUAAUUGGGGCACGGGGCCGGCGCGGCGCGCUGCGGGCUUGCAGAAUUUUGUUUGUUUGUUUGGCCGCGCGCUGGCGCAGCCACGGGCCGCAGUUACUGGGGCGCGCUGUCGUAACAAGCCGCGCGGUGUGGCCUGCACAUUGGGGUAGAGGGGGGGUAGUCUUCCCAGAUGUUCUAGUUAGUUGUUUAGUAAAUUUGACUUCAAUAACGAGCUUUUGUUAUGCUAGGCGCGGCAGGGCGCGCGAAUUUAAGCGCAAGUGAUUGGUGACUCGGGGCUCACUCAGGCGGAGGCUAUGCGUCUCACCUGUGGUCACGAGUUGUUAGUUCGUUCGUGAUGUAGGAAUUCAGGCUCACUCAGGCGGAGGCUAUGCGUCUCACCUGUGGUCACGAGUUGUUAGUUCGUUCGUGAUGUAGGAAUUCAAGCUUUCGGGCAGAAGCUAUGGCCGACGCCAGAGGCCACGAGUCGUUUAAUUUAAGUUAGGUCAUAAUGUAGUCAUCUUCAAGCUUUCGGGCGGAGGCAAUGGCCUUCGUCACUAGUCGUUUAGUUAUAAUUUUUAAAAUGUAAUGUUCGUUCGGAUUUUAAGGGCAGGAGAGGCCCCUACGUUAGUUUUAAGUAAUCGAUCAAGAAAGGCUUUUCGGAAAAUGUGAGUAUGGACUUAUCUUUGUUUUAAUUUUAAGUAUUAAUUAUGAUUUGAGGUAUUCGGAAGGACUAGGGAAGUGUUUAGUGAAGUUCUCUCAUUCUCUCUCUUGUAAGGUCGUUCAAUCGUUAAGGAAGUAAAGAGAUUAUUGUUUUAAAUUGUAAUCCCGCUAUUUAAAUGUUCUUUAAAAUGAUGUUGAGUAUUUGACUUUAAGAAUAAAAUAAUUUUAAUUAAGUAUUAUGUUAUUUUGCAAAAUCUCCUUAGUUCAGCUCUCACCAGACAUCCUGUACGGGAUGACGAACCUAUGAUCCUAGGUACAGUAAAGUAUUUUAUGAAGUUAAGACUAGUUGAUGCCAAGCGAGUUGUUUCUAUGUAAAGAGCUACGAUUCUCGCCCCCCCCCUCUGAAGGUGGAUCGUGACAAUAUACUGCAGUACUCUUUUAUUUGGUAUCUUGUAGAAGAGGGCAUUGAAAUGGUUAACAUUCUUUGUUGUCAAUGUACAGCACUUGUAUGCGUUUGAUUGGUGAGCACAUUCGGGCGAUUUUGGCGGACACUUGAACGAAUAUUUUAAAAUAAAUGACAUUGUUGGAGUUAUACAAUUGCAAAUGUAGUAAGUUUUUGGUUUACUUUUAAAGUUAUUUUCAUAUUAAUGUUAGUAAAAUGUAUUAAUUUUACAAAAUAAAUCUUUAGAUAAAA